rnacentral:rRNA from 1 species
CCUACGGGUGGCAGCAGUGGGGAAUAUUGCACAAUGGGCGAAACCCUGAUGCAGCGACGCCGCGUGAGUGAAGACGUAAUUCGUUAUUUAAAGCCCUAUCAGCAGGGAAGAAAAUGACGGUACCUGAGUAAGAAGCCCCGGCACACUACGUGCCAGCAGCCGCUGUAAUACGUGGGGGGGACGCGUUAUCCGGCUUUACUGGGUGUAAAGGGAGCGUAGACGGCAGUGCAAGUCUGGUGGGAAAGGCGGGGGCUCAACCCCCGGACUGCUCUGGAAACUGUACGGCUUGAGUGCAGGAGAGGUAAGCGGAAUUCCUGGUGUAGCGGUGAAAUGCGUAGAUAUCAGGAGGAACACCGGUGGCGAAGGCGGCCUGCUGGACUGCGACUGACGUUGAGGCCCGAAAGCGUGGGGAGCAAACAGGAUUAGAUACCCCUGUAGUC